CGACCCCAGGUCAGGCGGGACUACCCCUGAGUUUAAGCAUAUAAAUAAGCGGAGGAGAAGAAACUUACAAGGAUUCCCCUAGUAACGGCGAGCGAACCGGGAGCAGCCCAGCUUGAGAAUCGGGCGGCUGUGCCGUCCGAAUUGUAUUCUCGAGAGGCGUCCUCAGCGACGGACCGGGCCCAAGUCCCCUGGAAAGGGGUGCCUGGGAGGGUGAGAGCCCCAUCCGGCCCGGACCCUGUCGCCCCACGAGGCGCCGUCAACGAGUCGGGUUGUUUGGGAAUGCAGCCCAAAUCGGGCGGUAGACUCCGUCCAAGGCUAAGUACAGGCGAGAGACCGAUAGCAAACAAGUACCGCGAGGGAAAGAUGAAAAGGACUUUGAAAAGAGAGUCAAAGAGUGCUUGAAAUUGCCGGGAGGGAAGCGGAUGGGGGCCGGUGAUGCGCCCCGGCCGUAUGCGGAACGGCUCUUGCUAGUCCGCCGCUCAACUCGGGGUGUGGACUGUUGUCGGCCGCGCCGGCGACCAAAGCCCGGGGGCCCUAGGUGCCCCCGGUGGCCAUCGUCGGCACGGCCGGUACCCACGCGCCGAAAGGUGUGUCCCUCGGGGCACUGCGCUGCAACGGCCUGCGGGCUCCCCAUCCGACCCGUCUUGAAACACGGACCAAGGAGUCUGACAUGCGUGCGAGUCGACGGGUUCUGAAACCUGGGAUGCGCAAGGAAGCNNNNNNNNNNNNCUUCUGUGAAGGGUUCGAGUUGGAGCACGCCUGUCGGGACCCGAAAGAUGGUGAACUAUGCCUGAGCGGGGCGAAGCCAGAGGAAACUCUGGUGGAGGCUCGAAGCGAUACUGACGUGCAAAUCGUUCGUCUGACUUGGGUAUAGUGGCGAAAGACUAAUCGAACCAUCUAGUAGCUGGUUCCCUCCGAAGUUUCCCUCGGGAUAGCUGGAGCCCAUUACGAGUUCUAUCAAGUAAAGCCAAUGAUUAGAGGCAUUGGGGACGCAACGUCCUCGACCUAUUCUCAAACUUUAAAUAGGUAGGAUGGCGCGGCUGCUUCGGUGAGCCGUGCCAUGGAAUCGGGUGCUCCAAGUGGGCCAUUUUUGGUAAGCAGAACUGGCGAUGCGGGAUGAACCGGAAG
rnacentral:ncRNA from 1 species